CGAACGCUGGCGGCGUGCCUAAUACAUGCAAGUCGAGCGAGCUUGCCUAGAUGAUUUUAGUGCUUGCACUAAAUGAAACUAGAUACAAGCGAGCGGCGGACGGGUGAGUAACACGUGGGUAACCUGCCCAAGAGACUGGGAUAACACCUGGAAACAGAUGCUAAUACCGGAUAACAACACUAGACGCAUGUCUAGAGUUUGAAAGAUGGUUCUGCUAUCACUCUUGGAUGGACCUGCGGUGCAUUAGCUAGUUGGUAAGGUAACGGCUUACCAAGGCAAUGAUGCAUAGCCGAGUUGAGAGACUGAUCGGCCACAUUGGGACUGAGACACGGCCCAAACUCCUACGGGAGGCAGCAGUAGGGAAUCUUCCACAAUGGACGAAAGUCUGAUGGAGCAACGCCGCGUGAGUGAAGAAGGGUUUCGGCUCGUAAAGCUCUGUUGGUAGUGAAGAAAGAUAGAGGUAGUAACUGGCCUUUAUUUGACGGUAAUUACUUAGAAAGUCACGGCUAA
rnacentral:rRNA from 1 species